UACAGAGGGUGCGAGCGUUAAUCGGAAUUAUUGGGCGUAAAGAGCACGUAGGUGGCUGAAUAAGUUGGGUGUGAAAUUCCCGGGCUCAACCCGGGGGUGUCAUUCAAUACUGUUCUGCUCGAGUAGGGAAGAGGGAAGUGGAAUUCUCGGUGUAGCGGUGAAAUGCGUAGAUAUCGGGAGGAACACCCGUGGCGAAGGCGGCUUCCUGGUCCACUACUGACACUCAAGUGCGAAAGCGUGGGGAGCAAACAGG
rnacentral:rRNA from 1 species